UUUAACGAAGACACUUGUCUUUAAUUUGAGAUACUUGUACAGCUCCGCUACAGCGUCGCGUGCGAAUGACGUCAUCAACCGCGCUGGGCCGCUUGUGGAUGACGUCAUUCACAUGCAGCUGCGAUCGUAUCUUUCGCGCCGAAAGAUAACGGCUGGGACUAAGUAAAAAGUAGUAAAAAUGGAGACAUAGCGAAACGCUGAUGUCUCCAUUUUUACUGCUUUUUACUACUUGAAUGGACUGAGGGUGAUGAUAGUGGGGCGCAUAGUAUUUUGGCGAUUGACUGUGUCCGGAACUUUUCAGUUCAAGAUUUUUUUGCCUCGACUGAACAAAACGAGAAGCUGGUGGAAUGGCGAAACGGCCGCCAACCCUGGCCGGUUCACCCAGCCAAAUUGACGUGGCAAUAAAAAGGGAGGGUCUUCCAAAAACAAGCACCAGGAGGGUGAGAAGCAGGAGGAGGGUCAUGACAGACUUUCAAAGAACAAGGUUGUCGUGAAAAAGAAAAAUGUUUCUAAAUACGAGACAGGAGGAGGAGGAGAAAGUGGAUGAUGAGGCGCGUCAUGACACAAAGAACAAGGUGGGAAGCCAACCAGAGGGGACGGGGAGCAGCUGGUUGCCCUGGACAAAAUUAAAAAGGCAGCCAUUAUUGGUGAGUAAAUGCAUAAAGUGUUGAGAAGGGAAAACAAAACUUUUAAGACUUUAUAAGUUCACCACUUUAACCAUAGCCUACUUGUAUCAAUGUAUAUUAGGCAUCAAUGGAGACUGGAUAAGGUAGGGCACCCAUUAUUGUUACUGUAUCUGCUUAGCACCUAUAAUACUAAUUCAUUGCUUGCUCACUUUUUGAUCCCACCUUUCCUUUUCUAAAGCCACAUUUCUGGGGUAUUGCCCUCAAUGUGUGUAGUCCUCUAUUUUGUAGAACAUAUAUUGUUGCAAAUAACCUCAUGGCAUAUUGUUGUUGUCUGAAGUGUUCAUAAAUAAUAUUCACCCCUCCUUCACCCUUAAUCCCCUCUGUCCUGCCUUAUUUUGUCUAUGCCGGUAAUUGAUUUGCUUGAUUUUAAUGCAUACCUUCUUCGAGCAUGGUGUGUGUGUGUGUGUAAAACAAAGGUCUUGUUUGCUCAAAGCCCAGCCCAGAGAACACGGAAUGUGUUAAAAAGUCAGGAUUUGUUAAUUCAGAACAGAUGGCUGAAUGCCAUUCGCUCAUUAUUGUUACAAUAUUAUUAUAUUGUCUAAUUAUUUUUGUCUUCUCUAGAUGCUACAUUGAAGAAAUGGCCGGCAGCCAGCCGAGGGCAGAUAGGCACAGCUAUAAAUUCCAAGCUCGCAGAGAUGCGAAGAUCCAUUA